rnacentral:rRNA from 1 species
AUGAACGCUGGCGGCGUGCUUCACACAUGCCAGUCGAACGAUGAAGCCCAGCUUGCUGGGUGGAUUAGUGGCGAACGGGUGAGUAACACGUGAGUAACCUGCCCUUAACUCUGGGAUAAGCCUGGGAAACUGGGUCUAAUACCGGAUAGGAGCGUCCACCGCAUGGUGGGUGUUGGAAAGAUUUAUCGGUUUUGGAUGGACUCGCGGCCUAUCAGCUUGUUGGUGAGGUAAUGGCUCACCAAGGCGACGACGGGUAGCCGGCCUGAGAGGGUGACCGGCCACACUGGGACUGAGACACGGCCCAGACUCCUACGGGAGGCAGCAGUGGGGAAUAUUGCACAAUGGGCGAAAGCCUGAUGCAGCGACGCCGCGUGAGGGAUGACGGCCUUCGGGUUGUAAACCUCUUUCAGUAGGGAAGAAGCGAAAGUGACGGUACCUGCAGAAGAAGCACCGGCUAACUACGUG